UGGAUUAAUUGUGAUUUUGGUUGUGAAAAGCAAGCUUGAGUUCAUGGAACUCAAGCUUGGUGCUUUAAUGGCACUUUUUGAUUUUUAGUGCAAUUGUUGGGUUUAAGUUGUGGAAUAUGUUUAUUAUGACAUAUAUUGAUGCUCUGGAAAGUUUGGGAAUGUUUGGGGAUGAUUUGAGUGAGUUUUGGGGGUUUAAAGAUUGAGAAAUUUCGUGUUCGCUGCCCAGACAACCGGAAUUCCGGUUGGUUCAUCCGGAAUUCCGGUUGGAGUUCAUCGGGAAAUGCUGAAUUUUGUUUCGGCCAUAACUUUUGACUCGGGACUCCGUUUGGGACGUUCUUUAUACCGUUGGAAAGCUCUUUUUGAGCUCUAUGUGAUUAUCUGUAUUUGAAAUGCCAUGAAUUUAUUUUAUGAAUAUGAAAUCAGGGGUUAACCCUAUUUGUGAAAAUCCCGGAUUGUGUGACUAGGAUUACCGGCACCUGGUCAGGAGCACCCGGGGAUUCGGAAUCUCUGCCUUUGCAGGACAACAGGAAAGGGUAAGUCAGUGGCUGAUCAACCAUGAGUUUGAGGAGCAAGAUGAAGAAUGUACAUGUUCAAGCCAUAUCAGACCAAGCGGGUUAAGGGUCUAUCAGUGAUGAACUUUUGAAUUCUAUUUUGACGUUUAGGUCGGCUAGAAAUAAAUGACUUGUAAUAGCGGUUGUAAAUAUUUUUGGGAUCCCAACUAUUUUAAAAGUUUUAAAUAUAUUACAAGUUUAUUUUCUUUCUGUUUAAUAUAAAAGUUUAAAUUCUGCGCUA